AAUGGCCUGGGAGGGGGCGCUGCUGGCUCCACCUAUGCCUCGUCAGACUCCCUCACGAGGGCUGCCGGGUCCUGUUGGCUCCCUCAAGUAGGCUCAAUGCCAGAAAAAUUAGCCCUGCCUGGCACAAUCCCCUGCUCCGCUGCAGAACUUGUCUGCCCCGGAGCUGAUCGCCUCGGCAAACGGCCCUGUCAUUUCACAGCUCUAGCUCUGAACUCUAUAUGAUAAUUGUAUUGAUCUAAAAUGACUGUCAACAGGGGAAGGGAAUAAGUAUUUUGGGAUUUGAGCUACCAGCCUUUCUCACACUUGAAUCUGUUGGCAAGGCAACUGGAUGAAACCUUCCCAGCACGUGUCUGCUGUGAGAUUUAGUUUCCCUUAGUCCUUGGCUACAGGUCUCUCAUCAGCAGCUCACAACCUACAAAUCAGAAAGCCAAGUUGGACAAAGGAGAAGGACAAGAGGGAGGAAGACUAUGAGCCUUCAGCACAAGAGACCCCCAGAAUCCCCCGGAAGGACCACCAGAGACUGAUUCCGGAAACUAAUUAUAAUAACCCUGUUUUUUUUUGAAGUAGUAAUGAAUAUGUAUUAGCCUAG